rnacentral:rRNA from 1 species
CCUACGGGUGGCAGCAGUGGGGAAUAUUGCACAAUGGGCGAAACCCUGAUGCAGCAACGCCGCGUGAGUGAAGCAGUAUUUCGGUAUGUAAAGCUCUAUCAGCAGGGAAGAAGAAAUACGGUACCUGACUAAUAAGCCCCGGCUAACUACGUUCCAGCAGCCGCGGUAAUACGUAUGGGGCAAGCGUUAUCCGGAUUUACUUGGUGUAAAUGGAGCGUAGACGGCUGUGUAAGUCUGAAGUGAAAGCCCGUGGCUUAACCGCGGAACCGCUUUGGAAACUGUAUAGCUAGAGUACGGGAGAGGUAGGCGGAAUUCCAAGUGAAGCGGGGAAAUGCGUAGAUAUAAGGAGGAACACCAGUGGCGAAGGCGGCCUGCUGGACAGAAACUGACGUUGAGGCUCGAAAGCGUGGGGAGCAAACAGGAUUAGAUACCCUAGUAGUC